rnacentral:rRNA from 1 species
UGACCUCGGAUCAGGUAGGAUUACCCGCUGAACUUAAGCAUAUCAAUAAGCGGAGGAAAAGAAACCAACAGGGAUUGCCCCAGUAACGGCGAGUGAAGCGGCAACAGCUCAGAUUUGGAAUCUGGCCUUCGGGCCCGAGUUGUAAUCUGGAGAGGAUGCUUCUGGCGCGGUGCCUUCCGAGUUCCCUGGAACGGGACGCCGGAGAGGGUGAGAGCCCCGUACGGUUGGACACCUAGCCUCUGUGAAGCUCCUUCGACGAGUCGAGUAGUUUGGGAAUGCUGCUCAAAAUGGGAGGUAAAUUUCUUCUAAAGCUAAAUAUUGGCCAGAGACCGAUAGCGCACAAGUAGAGUGAUCGAAAGAUGAAAAGCACUUUGAAAAGAGAGUUAAAAAGUACGUGAAAUUGUUGAAAGGGAAGCGCCUGUGGCCAGACUUGCGCCGCACGGACCACCCAGCGUUCUCGCUGGUGCACUCCGCGCGGCGCAGGCCAGCAUCGGUUUUCCUAGGGGGAUAAAGGUCGCGGGAACGUAGCUCCUCCGGGAGUGUUAUAGCCCGUGGCGUCAUGCCCCUGGGGGGACCGAGGACCGCGCUUCGGCAAGGAUGCUGGCGUAAG